UACGAAGGGGGCUAGCGUUGCUCGGAAUCAUUGGGCGUAAAGAGCUCGUAGGCGGCCACUCAAGUCGAAUGUGAAACCUCGAGGCUCAACCUCGAGCCUGCAUUCGAUACUGGGCGGCUAGAGUCUGGUAGGGGGAUCUGGAAUUCCUGGUGUAGCGGUGGAAUGCGCAGAUAUCAGGAGGAACACCGGUGGCGAAGGCGGGAUCCUGGGCCAGUACUGACGCUGAGGAGCGAAAGCGUGGGGAGCAAACAGG
rnacentral:rRNA from 1 species